GUGUCAGCAGCCGCGGUAAUACGUAGGGUGCGAGCGUUAAUCGGAAUUACUGGGCGUAAAGCGUGCGCAGGCGGCGCGUUAAGACAGGUGUGAAAUCCCCGGGCUUAACCUGGGAAUUGCGCUUGUGACUGGCGUGCUCGAGUGCGGCAGAGGGGGGUGGAAUUCCACGUGUAGCAGUGAAAUGCGUAGAGAUGUGGAGGAACACCGAUGGCGAAGGCAGCCCCCUGGGCCGACACUGACGCUCAUGCACGAAAGCGUGGGGAGCAAACAGGAUUAGAUACCCCCGUAGUCC
rnacentral:rRNA from 1 species